CGGUGGAAGCCAGAAAGUCCAUGCCAGCGGGCUGAAGGAGCUGUGCUGGUAGGAUGAGGGUUCUGUGUUGGAGCUGAGAAGUCACACUCACAACAGAGACCAGGGCUGUCCUGAAAGGCACCACAGCCGUCCUCAGUGACACGGAGGCCCCGAGCUCCUCCGAGGACAAGCACAGUCGGGUACAUGCCAGGAAGCAGCGUGACGAGUUCAUCCUGGAGACCAAGCAGCACAUGUCUUCCCCUCCGGAGCCAGGAAGCAAUGCUCGAUGGAAGCAAUGCUCGAUGUGAGGACCAAAGCUUCUCCAGGAGAACCAACAGCUCAGACAGCAACUCGUAGGAGAACCCACAAUGCUUCAAGGCAAGGACGCAUUAACGCCUCAGCAUCUCAACACCUCCCUUCUUCUCCACCUAUUUAUCCUGGCAACCCUCCUCAGGUGGAGCAUCUUCCCUCAGUGCCAUGCUGAUGUAAUCCAGCUGGCGUUAAGUUGACCACCAGUUCUUAACCCAUAACCGUUGUGGUGAGAGGGAUUGAUGUAUAGCGGGGCCAUCCGGCCCGGCCCUCUCCCACAUGAGCCUGUCAUCUUGGGGCUUCUCCUAUGUGUGUGUAACCUUUCUUCUUCCGAAGACGCUCAGCUCAUCUGCUGGAUUAGAGGCAGCGCUAAUUACUUGCUGCAAAGCUGAUUACCUCUGCAAAACUCUGCUUCCAUGAAGUCCCGAUCACUAGCCGCAGUGUGGAUAGAACUUCCGCAUUCUUUUUUGGGGGGAGGGGACACAGUUCCCACAACACCUACUCUGGCUCAGAAAGUAGCUGCCCUGCCCUGACUUCACUCUUGCGCCUCACCACAGCCCUCUGCAUGGACGACUGUCACCUCCCUCUCCCACAAGCCAGAGCUCCUCCGCUCUGCACCCCCAGAGCUCAGCCUCACCUCCCUGGUGCAGCCCCAAAGCGGCCUCCGCGGCUCAUCAGUAACCAGAAGGGGAGCAGCGGGCAGAAUAAAUCUGACUCCAAAAUUAAUGUAGCUCGGGGAAAAAAAGUACAUUUAUUCAUUUCAACUUCUUGUUGCGAGACUCGUAAGUGAAUAAAUCCGGAAUAAAUGUAACUGGGACGAAGGGAGAAGCCGCGAUAAACGCAAUCCCCGUCGCCCUAAAUGAAGACAAAGGCUCCAAGACAGUAUUAAAUCUCUUCCCCGAAGGCUCAUUUCAUUUCAGACCCAGAUUUCCACAAAAUUAAGUGCUCCAGCCCGGCUAAGCCCCGAUGCGCUGCUUUCUGCCGGGUCCUGGCCCCGCCUUCCCGCGGGUCUCCGGGGUCACCGGGGUCAGGCCAGGCUCUGUCUGCGCAUGCGCCAGCUGCCCCACCCCCACGCUGAACUCUGAAGACGCCCUGGCUUCCUCAGCUCUCAGUUGGCUUCCUCUUCACUGGGGGACCCAAGGCCUGUGCUUGGGUUCCCAGGAUAUUUGCACAUCUUACCUGCAGCCUCCUCAGGCCCAGGGGGAAGCCGUGCAGGGAUGCACUCACCUGUGCCUCCGCCCAGGAGGUCACCUGGUGUCUCGUCCUGAUACACUGGCAUGACUGGACACAGGCAGCCCAUGUGUGGGGCGGAAGCAGCCAGAUCUCCACCUUGUUCACUGCGUGUUGACCGAGGAUGGACUUCGUCCUUACCCUGCAUCCUACAGACCUGGGGCCUGGGUUUCCUCAGGGUUAGGGAGCCUCAGGGAGGGGGAUCAGCGAGGAGCUGCAGUGGGAGCCCCCUCCCAGGACAGUCCCCAGCUCGUGCUGGAGGCCUUGUCUACUCCCCAGGGGAGGAUGACCCGGCCUGCUUGCUCAGAGGACAGGUGACACUGCAGGAGUUUGACCCUCUGAAACUGCCAUUCCUGGGGACCCUACCCUUUAUGCCUGGCAUCAGACAGGGCAUCAGAGUAUGAGGAAUCAAAUUCAGUGGCCCUCCCUGGCCAGUCCCUGCCCUCACGCUCGAUGGUGUCACCAGCUGUGUCUCCUACAUUGUGAACUGGUCUCAGCAUUUCAGCAUCUGACUGACUAAGCAGAACCGAGUACUGAGUACUGAGCACUGAGCACAUGCGAUAGGCUUCCAGGGACUCAGAGAGACCCUUGGCAUGCUAGAUGACAGAUGUCAGUCUCCUGUGCUGACCGUGUGCCCUAGUGUCAGACAAUGUCAGCAUCAGGAACCUUGUGCCUGGCGUCCCCUCCUCCCCUCCGCAGAGGUCCCGCUUGGUGAGGCUCUGGCUGUGCGGCAGGGUAGGAGUGCUUUUAACCAUGGUAACAGUGGCACACGUCAGCACCUGCUGCUCGCUGGCGGGGCCGGCCCCGCUUUCCUUCAGCGCAUCUUGUGAGAAAGCCUAGCACAUCGGGGCUCCUGUACCAGGGCUGGGACUCCCUGGAGGGGGGAAGUGUGUUCUAUUUUAAUCUACUGUGUGGUAAUGGAGGGAGCUAUAUCAUUUAUAUUACAUCAUAUAAAACAUAUUAUGUGAACUUUA